CCCACAUCACUUAAUUUCUACUAUACCACACACAACAUCACAUCACAUCAUAUUCAUCAAAACAUCACAUAUAAUCACAAAUACAUCAAAAGUGCUCAUCAAAACAUCAAUUAAUUUUGGUGUGUUACAACAAGCAGUCACUCACAUUACAACUCUCCAUGUUUGUCUCUUCCUUUUUUUGAGUAAUCAUUUUUCUACCAAUGGUAGAAGUCAGUUUUUCUCUAGACUCACAAUGAAAGCACAAGAUGAUCAACAUGUCGAUUCUUGCCUUACCAAAUUUUACAAAAACUUUCUUAGAAGAAACCGAUGCUUUUGGGGUUGCUAUUGGUGUUGUUCUUUCUCAAUAAGGUCAUCACAUUUCUUUCUUCAGUAA